CAGCUGUGGUUGGAUGGUAAAGCCUUUAGUGGCACAUUCGGCUGAAGCUGGUGAGGGAAACAUAGUGUUGUGGCUAGAUAGUAUCUAGUUACCAUACUAGAAUAUUAACUCAC
rnacentral:ribozyme from 1 species